GAUGAACGCUGGCGGCGUGCCUAAUACAUGCAAGUCGAGCGAACAGAUGAGGAGCUUGCUCCUCUGACGUUAGCGGCGGACGGGUGAGUAACACGUGGAUAACCUACCUAUAAGACUGGGAUAACUUCGGGAAACCGGAGCUAAUACCGGAUAAUAUAUUGAACCGCAUGGUUCAAUAGUGAAAGACGGUUUUGCUGUCACUUAUAGAUGGAUCCGCGCCGCAUUAGCUAGUUGGUAAGGUAACGGCUUACCAAGGCAACGAUGCGUAGCCGACCUGAGAGGGUGAUCGGCCACAGUGGAAGUGAGACACGGUCCAGACUCGUACGGGGGGCAGCAGUAGGGAAUCUUCCGCAAUGGGCGAAGGCCUGACGGAGCAACGCAGCGUGAGUGAUGAGGUCUUCGGAUCGUAAAACUCUGUUAUUAGGGAAGAACAAAUGUGUAAGUAACUAUGCACGUCUUGACGGUACCUAAUCAGAAAGCCACGGCUAACUACGUG
rnacentral:rRNA from 1 species